rnacentral:rRNA from 1 species
CCUACGGGUGGCAGCAGUGAGGAAUAUUGGUCAAUGGGCGCGAGCCUGAACCAGCCAAGCCGCGUGAAGGAUGACUGCCCUAAGGAUUGUAAACUUCUUUUGUAAGGGAAUAAAGUGAGGCACGUGUGCCUGUUUGUGUGUACCUGAUGAAUAAGGAUCGGCUAACUCCGUGCCAGCAGCCGCGGUAAUACGGAGGAUGCGAGCGUUAUCCGGAUUUAUUGGGUUUAAAGGGAGCGUAGGUGGGUUGUUAAGUCAGUGGUGAAAGCUUGCGGCUCAACCGUGGAAUUGCAGUUGAAACGGGCAGUCUUGAGUACAGUUGAGGUAGGCGGAAUGCGCGGUGUAGCGGUGAAAUGCUUAGAUAUCACGAAGAACUCCGAUUGCGAAGGCAGCUUACUAAACUGCCACUGACAUUGAGGCUCGAAAGCGUGGGUAUCAAACAGGAUUAGAUACCCUUGUAGUC